rnacentral:rRNA from 1 species
UACCAGCACCCCGAGUGGUCGGGACGAUUAUUGGGCCUAAAGCAUCCGUAGCCGGUUUUACAAGUCCUCCGUUAAAUCCAACUGCUUAACAGAUGGGCCGCGGAGGAUACUAUAAGACUAGGAGGCAGGAGAGGCAAGCGGUACUCAGUGGGUAGGGGUAAAAUCCGUUGAUCCAUUGAAGACCACCAGUGGCGAAGGCGGCUUGCCAGAACGCACUCGACGGUGAGGGAUGAAAGCUGGGGGAGCAAGCCGG